AGAGUUUGAUCCUGGCUCAGAACGAACGUUGGCGGCAUGGAUUAGGCAUGCAAGUCGCGCGAAUCCCCGCAAGGGGGGAAGCGGCGUAAGGGGCAGUAAGGCGUGGAUAACCUACCCCCCGGUCCGGGAUAGCCCGUCGAGAGACGGGGUAAUACCGGGCGACACCGACAGCCGGCAUCGGCUGUCGGUCAGAGGUCCGCCGCCGGGGGCGGGGUCCACGGGGUAUUAGCUAGUUGGUGGGGUGACGGCCCACCAAGGCGGAGAUGCCUAGCGGGUGUGAGAGCACGACCCGCGCCACUGGCACUGAGACACUGGCCAGACACCUACGGGUGGCUGCAGUCGAGGAUCUUCGGCAAUGGGCGAAAGCCUGACCGAGCGACGCCGCGUGUGCGACGAAGGCCUUCGGGUUGUAAAGCACAAAGGUACCGAGGAAGCGAAAGUUGACCGAGGUACAGUAAGCACGGGCUAAGUUCGUGCCAGCCGCCGCGGUAAUUC
rnacentral:rRNA from 1 species